GGUGAGAUGGCCGAGCGGUCUAAGGCGCCAGACUAAGGCAUUGAAUGAAUCUAUUCAAGACCAUCUGGUCCGAAAGGGCGUGGGUUCGAAUCCCACUCUCAUCA